UUAUAACAGGGCAUUUUUGUCCAUUCAGCUUCAAAAGUAAGGGUUAAAAUGUCCAAGGCAAAAUUGAUACUUAAGUGCUGUUAUGUUUGACGUUACCUUGUCUUGCUUAACCAUGGUUACUUGCUGUUACACCAACCAAACAACCCCGACUUUAAUUACGCGACACGUGUCUUUGUCUUCUUCAACGUGACUAGUGCUUUUUCACUCCCUCACUCCCAUUAUUUUCCUGUUCUUCUACCGAGCCAAAACUUGAAUCCUACUGCAUGUAAUUAAUCGGAUUAAAAUUUGCAUUUCUCAUUUACUGGUUGAGUUGCGAAUCUCUUGGAUUUUGUGUCGUAUGCUGUUGUUCGUCGAUCUGGGAUAUUGCGAUGGAAUUCUGUAAAUCCAUAGGCAAAACAUUGCGGAAUAAAUGUCAAAGAGGAAAUUGGAGCUAAAGGUAUGAUUUCUAAUCUACUUUAUGUUUGUAUCUUGUAAUUCAUGUGGUGAUGAACAAAUGGGUACUGAUUGAGCCGCUGUCGCUGAUUAAGCCGCUGUCAGGUCGAAAAGGAAAUUGGGAGAGAAGGAUAUAGUGUGGGGGGUCAAGUGAAUAAAAAACAGAAGCACUGUGUAGGCGUCGCUCUAAGUGCGCCUACGUUAAAGCAUGUGGUGAAUAUGCUUGGCACUCAUAGGAAGUGGGAAUUGACAUAAUACGAUUAGGGAC